UACGGAGGGUGCAAGCGUUAAUCGGAAUUACUGGGCGUAAAGGGUGCGUAGGUGGUUUGGUAAGUUAUCUGUAAAAUCCCCGGGCUCAACCUGGGCAGGUCAGAUAAUACUGCUGAACUCGAGUAUGGGAGAGGGUAGUGGAAUUUCCGGUGUAGCGGUGAAAUGCGUAGAGAUCGGAAGGAACACCAGUGGCGAAGGCGGCUACCUGGCCCAAUACUGACACUGAGGCACGAAAGCGUGGGGAGCAAACAGG
rnacentral:rRNA from 1 species